AAGAUUCGUUCAGAGGACUGAUGUGCCCCUGGUUUUUCUGAGUCUGAUGAUCUGUCUUCCUUCCCUAGACUGAGGAUACGUCGCUUCUUACUCCGGAACUCCAAUCUGAGUCUACACCCAGGGCAGGGUGUCAGAGCCUCCCUGUCCAAUAACUAUGUGUCUGUCAGGGGGAACUGGAAGGUGUUUUUCACCACCUUAUAUGGUACUUUUGAUCUGAGUGUGGAUGGCACUUUCAUCUCGAUUUCUCUGAACUUGGGCAAGAACCAGUCUGGGUGACCCACUGCCUCCAUGACCCACUGCAGCAACUCCACUGGCCAUGUCAGCAUUGAAGUUUCUGGACACCUAAGGGUGAAUUAUUUGGCCGAAACUGGAGCUCCCCAGUCCCCUGUGAUGCUCCGCCCAUCAGGCUGCCCCCAAAACACAACCGCAUGAUCUACUUUGCAGUCUCCGAAUAUGCCAUCAACGUGGCCAGCAGGGUUUACCAGCAGUCUGGGCACAUGAAAUUCAUCAUCUAAAAUAAGCAUGUGAGUAGGGGAGGGAGG